AUGUCGGGUCGACAGUAUACCCGGGCCAAUAACCGAUCAACUCCAACCUUUGAAAAACUUGAUCGGGCGCUAGUUACCACCGACUGGGAAUAUAAGUACCCCCUAGCCUCGGUAUGUGCACUAGAAAGAAUUGAGGCCUUAUCGGAUCACGCUCCUUUGCUUACCGAUUUUGGACAAACAACUCCAAGUUCUAACCGUCAUCAGUUUAAAUUUGAACUGGGAUGGCUCACUAGAGAGGGAUUCCAUGACCUGGUCAAGAAAGUGUGGGCGCGUCAACCUCGUGGUAACACGCCCAUCCAACGAUGGAACAAUCAAAUCCGUGCCAUGCGCCGAUUCGUUCGUGGACAGGCUAAGCAUACCGCUAGCAUAUACAAAAAAGAAAAGUUGCGUCUAUCUAUCUUAAUUAAUUCCAUUGAUAAAAUCACGGAGGUAAGGCCCCUUUAG
rnacentral:rRNA from 1 species